rnacentral:tRNA from 1 species
AACUUCGUAGCUCAGCUGGUUGCGUCAAAAGCGACAGCUUUUGAGGCUUUAAAGAGCAAUUGACUCUUAAUCAAUGGGUCGUGGGUUCGAGUCCCACCGAGG